rnacentral:rRNA from 1 species
AGUUUAACGGCCGCGGUAUUUUGACCGUGCGAAGGUAGCGCAAUCACUUGUCUUUUAAAUGGAGACCUGUAUGAAUGGCAUAACGAGGGCUUAACUGUCUCCUCUUUCCAGUCAAUGAAAUUGAUCUUCCCGUGCAGAAGCGGGAAUAAUAACAUAAGACGAGAAGACCCUAUGAAGCUUUAGACACCAAGACAGAUCAUGUUAAACACUCCUUAAUAAAGGACUAAACCAAAUGAACCCUGCCCUAAUGUCUUUGGUUGGGGCGACCGCGGGGAAACAAAAAACCCCCACGUGGAAUGGGAGCACCCCUCCUACAACUAAGAGCCGCAGCUCUAGUUAACAGAACUUCUGACCAGUAAGAUCCGGCAAUGCCGAUCAACGAACCGAGUUACUCUAGGGAUAACAGCGCAAUCCCCUUUUAGAGCCCAUAUCGACAAGGGGGUUUACGACCUCGAUGUUGGAUCAGGACAUCCUAAUGGUGCAGCCGCUAU